AACACCGAUUGUGUAAUAAACGGUCAUUGGCCACUGCAUAUGUAACUCGAUGAUACAGCGGAUGAUUUAGUCGAUAAACUGGAUUGAACGCCGAGGACCGCACACGAUGCACGCUCGCACCUUCGAUCGAAAUUGCUUGGCUAAAAAUGGAAAAACUUAACAAGACGCCAUAUAGUACAAAAGAUAGAGUGUAUCAUAAACGACUUUGUAAAAAACGCAGCCAGCUGCAGCGGACUCCUCAAAUAAAACCUUCAACCGGCAAA